UACGGCCACAUCACGUUGAAACACCGGUUCCCGUACGAUCACUGAAGUUAAGCAACGUCGAGCCUGGUCAGUAUCUAAAAGGGUAGUCGCUUAGGAAUACCAGGU